UACCAGCACCCCGAGUGGUCGGGACGAUUAUUGGGCCUAAAGCAUCCGUAGCCGGUCCUACAAGUCUUCCGUUAAAUCCACCUGCUUAACAGAUGGGCUGCGGAAGAUACUAUAAGGCUAGGAGGCGGGAGAGGCAAGCGGUACUCAGUGGGUAGGGGUAAAAUCCUCUGAUCCAUUGAAGACCACCAGUGGCGAAGGCGGCUUGCCAGAACGCGCUCGACGGCGAGGGAUGAAAGCUGGGGGAGCAAACAGG
rnacentral:rRNA from 1 species